CAAUAGCGUAUAUUAAAGUUGUUGCAGUUAAAAAGCUCGUAGUUGGAUUUCUGGUUGAAGCGACCGGUCGGGCGUUGAUUCGUCUGCACUGGAGUCGGUUUUGGCCAUCCUCUAGGAAAGUGCGUCUGGUAUUAAGUUAUCGGGCGUAUGAUCCUGGUCUUUUACUGUGAAAAAAUUAGAGUGUUUAAAGCAGGCCUUCGCCUUGAAUACAUUAGCAUGGAAUAAUAAGAUAGGACUUUGGUCUAUUUUGUUGGUUUGCAGACCGAAGUAAUGAUUAAUAGGGAUAGUUGGGGGUAUUUAUAUUCCGAUGUCAGAGGUGAAAUUCUUAGAUUUUCGGAAGAUAAACUUAUGCGAAAGCAUUUACCAAGGAUGUUUNCAUUA
rnacentral:rRNA from 1 species